GCACCAUUAGCUCAGCUGGUAGAGCAACUGACUCUUAAUCAGUGGGUCCUGGGUUCGAGUCCCCGAUGGUGCACCA
rnacentral:tRNA from 6 species